rnacentral:rRNA from 1 species
GACGAACGCUGGCGGCGUGCUUAACACAUGCAAGUCGAACGGAAAGGCCCUGCUUUUGUGGGGUGCUCGAGUGGCGAACGGGUGAGUAACACGUGAGUAACCUGCCCUUGACUUUGGGAUAACUUCAGGAAACUGGGGCUAAUACCGGAUAGGAGCUCCUGCUGCAUGGUGGGGGUUGGAAAGUUUCGGCGGUUGGGGAUGGACUGGCGGGUUAUCAGCUUGUUGGUGGGGUAGUGGCUUACCAAGGCUUUGACGGGUAGCCGGCAUGAGAGGGUGACCGGCGACCAUGGGACUGAGAGACGGACCAGACGGGAAUGGGGGGCAGUAGUGGGGAAUAUUGCACAAUGGGCGGAAGCCUGAUGAAGCAGCGCCGCGUGCGGGAUGACGGCCUUCGUGUUGUAAACGGCAGUAGCCUGUGACGAAGCGUGAGUGACGGUAAUGGGUAAAGAAGCACCGGCUAACUACGUG